rnacentral:rRNA from 1 species
AGGGUUUGAUCCUGGCUCAGAAUGAACGUUGGCGGCGUGGAUUAGGCAUGCAAGUCGUGCGCGAUGUGUAGCAAUACAUUGAAAGCGGCGAAAGGGAGAGUAACGCGUGGAUACCUACCCUGAGGCCCGGGAUAGCUGCGGGAAACUGCAGGUAAUACCGGAUGAUGUCUCCGGACCAAAGGUGUGAUUCCUCCUUAGGAUGGGUCCGCGUCCUAUUAGCUAGUUGGUGAGGUAAUGGCUCACCAAGGCUACGAUGGGUACUGGGUGUGAGAGCACGACCCAGCUCACUGGGACUGAGACACUGCCCAGACACCUACGGGUGGCUGCAGUCGAGAAUCUUCCGCAAUGGGCGAAAGCCUGACGGAGCGACGCCGCGUGUGGGAUGAAGGCCUUCGGGUUGUAAACCACUGUCAGUUGGGAGGAAAUAUUUAGGGGUUCUCCCCUAGAUUUGACCGAUCUUCAGAGGAAGUCCGGGCUAAGCUCGUGCCAGCAGCCGCGGUAAGACGAGCCGGACGAACGUUAUUCGGAAUUACUGGGCUUAAAGAGUGCGUAGGCGGCCUAGAAGGUGGGGUGUGAAAUCCCUCGGCUCAACCGAGGAAUGGCGCUUCAAACCACUAGGCUUGAGUGAGACAGAGGUGAGCGGAACUGAUGGUGGAGCGGUGAAAUGUGUUGAUAUCAUCAGGAACACCGGUGGCGAAGGCGGCUCACUGGGUCUUGUCUGACGCUGAGGCACGAAAGCUAGGGUAGCAAACGGGAUUAGAUACCCCGGUAGUCCUAGCCGUAAACGAUGAGCACUUGAUCGAGGGGACCUCCACAUCCUCCCGGUCGUAGCGAAAGUGUUAAGUGCUCCGCCUGGGGAGUAU